UACGUAGGUGGCAAGCGUUGUCCGGAAUUAUUGGGCGUAAAGCGCGCGCAGGCGGUUCUUUAAGUCUGAUGUGAAAGCCCACGGCUCAACCGUGGAGGGUCAUUGGAAACUGGGGAACUUGAGUACAGAAGAGGAAAGCGGAAUUCCACGUGUAGCGGUGAAAUGCGUAGAGAUGUGGAGGAACACCAGUGGCGAAGGCGGCUCACUGGUCCAUUACUGACGCUGAGGUGCGAAAGCGUGGGGAGCAAACAGG
rnacentral:rRNA from 1 species